UAACUUUCUGAACCAAGAACUAAUCCAGGACUACAUGCUAUUGAUAAUCAUUCUUUUUGGAGCUUUAGUGAUCUUUAAAUGAAAUAAUCCAAGUUUAGCCGAACCAUAAUUUUCUAUCGCAUGAUCUUAGAUAGAAAGAUUAAAAAGAAAAUUUGCUUGAUUGUCCUACCAUGAAAAUUAAUUUAGAUAGAAGGUUAUGAUUACAAUAUGCAUUUUAUACUAGCUUAAGAAUUGAUUUUUCAUACAAUAUUGGUGAUUGAAUAAUUGCUUUUACAAAGAGAUGGCAUGAGGCAUGUCAUUUUUUAUUUUGUGGUUACCUAAUGUUUUUCUGCAUGAACAUAUACAGAAUGAUGCCUGGUUGGUUGAGCAUCUUGAAAAUAUGGAUCUCAAUCGUAUAUUUUUUAGUUUUAAAAUUUCAAAAUCAAUUCAGGUGCACUGUGCUACCAGCUAGCUUCAGAUUGGCAAGUUCAACAUGUGUUUUUAGUUAGUUUGUUAAUGGAGGUUUUGUUAUUGUCAUAUUUAAUCAAUUAUACCUAUGCUCAUCAAAGUAGGAUAUAUAUGGUCUUCGUAUCUAUAGAAUCUAUAGUUUUUGGGAGGGGCAUCUCAGGUGCUACAGGCGAAAAGUACCCAGGAGUCUUCAGGUCCGUCCGAUGCGAUAUCCAGGCAAUCCUAUCCGCCUCCGCUCUACAGUGCAACAGUACCAGUUGUGGUGCCAUCGCCGUGUGGUCUUCUGCUAUGGGCCCCACAACUCCAUGGGUCUCUUCCGCUCCCUUCAGCUUCUCCCCUUCCCUCUCCGCCGCCGCACUCCCAGUCUCUCAUCCUCUUCCUUUCCCUCAGAGCGCGCCGAAAUCGCCACCGCCUGGGUGAAUCGGCGCUUGCUGGGCGGGUGAAUCGGCGCUUGCUGGUGUCUGCAGGCCUCUCCUUCCAUGUUGUCCUCGGCGAAAUCGCUGGCUGCCGAAGUUCUCACCGCAUCGUCUCCCCCAAAAUUGCCAUCCACCAACUUAGCUGGGCUGCCGGCAAGGCGGCACCCAGGUCAUUACCCGGCGUGGAUGCUAUAGCCCCUCCCUGCAGAUCACCAUGUUUGUACAAUUUAUAGUUGGACUAAGAGAGUAUUCUGGUAAUUAACUUCUGGGGCAAGUAAUCUGCCCUGCAGAUCAUCGUAUUGUUGGAAUUUUUUUUUUGGGGGGCUUACCAGGUUCUCAGGUAAUUAUGCUUCUUCUCCUUUGUGUGUGUGUGUGUGUAUACACAAAAUUGUUUUGUCCAGCUUUCUGAUAGCUUAUGUUUUUACGUACUGAAAACCUGCUCCCUAACAUGGAUUUGUAGUUUUGAUUUUUUUCCCUUUUUUAUAUGACACGGGCAAGAGAUGCGUAUGGGUGUCGUGUUGUUCAAGAGAUGCAUAUUCUUUCCUGCUGGCCUCAAAAUUUUAUUUAUCUGAGUGUUCCUUAUAUAUCUUAAACGAGUAGGGUGAAGUGCUUUAUGAGCUUCUUCGAGGAAUGGGAGGUCAGAAAGAUUAAUAGGGGAAACAUAAAAUACACCUCUUCCUGCUUUGCCACACGUAUAGAACUACAAGUAUGCAUAUCUAUGUGCAUGUGUCAAUUUUGUGCUGCCUACAAAAUCCAGUCUAGAAGUUGAAGGCUUACUCUACGUGCCCCAUACACUAAAAUGAUUCAUUUUAUAUGUUAACAAAUUGGUCUGUGCAGCUCCAUGAAGACAAACCAUAGAAAUUUAGCAAUAAAAUCAUAUUUCAUGUCCAUGGUCUCUUCUAGCAUGCAUGGUAAUAUUUUUUUUUCUUGAUAAACUAUUGUUGUGUUAUUACUUACUGAAUUCUGAAAUCAAGGCUUCAUGCAUAUGGUAGCAAGCUGUAUAUGGUGUUAUUUUGAACAAAAUAUGAUUUUAUUUACUUGAUUGCUGAAAAUACAUUGCAGAGAUAUUAGGCAAGUCAGGCAACGUAACCCUCCUGUCUAAUGUAGUAUUCUGUUUCUACCAAAUCAUGCAUCCGCAGGGCGUUUGCCAACUUUACUGUACGCUCUUUGUUUUAUCAUGCUUUCGGUUCACGUGUCCUUUGGUGAGUCUUUCCUACAUAUUUUAGCCCUUUGGUAAUUUGCACCUUUAGAUUACUAGCUACCUAUACAUGUUUUAGUACUGUAUUAUGAUACGACAUGUAGAUUCAUUCUACAAAUACCCUAAAAUAUUUUUUCCUCCUGAACAGAUUGUCAGGUGUAUUGUGAAUGGCAGUUUAUUUCCGAACAGAGAAAUCAUGUUUCCUCAGGUUAAAAGAAAAAAAAAAGAGAACAUGUUUCUGGAAGUUCAUUUUAUUUGAUUAUCACCAACUCUUCACACUGUUAAAUUCUUUGACUCCAAUCAUAGAUAUAAUAUCUGAACUGGAUACUCUAUGUAUUGUCUAUUAUUGUGCAUGUAUUCCUCAUACUAAAAGUUUUUAUCAUUUCACAAUUCCUAUUAUCUAAUGAAUUCCUACUAUUCACCAUAUCAUUUUUAAAUUAUUACACCAUGUAAUCCUUGCUAUUGAAGUUACUGAAGUACAUGUCCUUUUGCAGAGGAAUUUGACAUUGGCAUCAUGCCAAGCCCUGUUGCUGUUUUCCGUCCUAUGUCCUGUCCUGAGGUUGUAGAAUGAUAGUCGAGAUACAUGAGGAUAUCUCAAGAUUUACUGACUAAACUUAAAUAACUUUUUCGCACUUCAGAAAUGGUAUAUUACUUCAUAGUAUAAAUUUUUAUACAAAGAUUUGUGUCUCGAUAUGUAAUUUUCUUUUGGUACUUAAACAAAAUAUUAUUGCCAUGGUAUAUUAUAAAUUUAAUACUGUGAUCAAUAAUGUGCCCGCGCAAUGCGCGGGCCGGGCAUCAUCUAGUUCACAAUAUUCCCUCCCCUUGUUCAGUUAUCUCUUGCGCAGUCUCGUCCAGUCCAAUGGCGAGCAGUAACUCUUGGAUGAACGCGCCUCCACCACCUCCGACGCCCUCCACCCUCUCCCUCUCUCCGCACACCACUGCUUCCUCCACCCUGCACGUUGCUCUUGUGGUCGUCCUCUGCGUAGCGGCGCUGGCUGGGGCACUUCUCUUCUCCAUCGUCCUGCACAUUGUCUACACCAAGUGGCUCAAGCCGAGGAUCUUCGCCAGGGCGGCGCCACCGCCGCCGUCGCAGGAGGUGGUCGUGCAGAUGCCACCGUUUUCACGUGGGCUAGCGAGCGUGAAGAAAUUGAUUGGGAGAUGAACUCACUGAAGAAGCAGGCCAGUGCAGCGAGGUAAUAGUUGUGGGUGUAGUAAAUCGAUAUAUUUUACUCAGCUCUAUUAAGGAUUGAUUACUAAUCAUAGAUAAGCUUUAUCUGCUGUUUGUGAACAAAUCGCAGAGAAUGCGAAGAUCAAUGUCCUGUAAAUAUUCCCGUCCUAAUUAAUUCUAAGUUCUGCACUUAUAUUCU